UGGCGGCCAUAGCGGACGGGAACCACCCGAUCCCAUUUCGAACUCGGAAGUGAAGACGUCCAGCGCCGAUGGUAGUGUGGGGUCUCCCAUGUGAGAGUAGGUCACCGCCA
rnacentral:rRNA from 1 species